rnacentral:rRNA from 1 species
UACAGAGGGUGCGAGCGUUAAUCGGAAUUACUGGGCGUAAAGCGUGCGUAGACGGUUAUUUAAGUCGGAUGUGAAAGCCCCGGGCUCAACCUGGGAAUUGCAUUCGAGACUGAAUAGCUAGGGUGCGGUAGAGGGAAGCGGAAUUUCCGGUGUAGCGGUGAAAUGCGUAGAUAUCUGGAGGAAUACCGGUGGCGAAGGCGGCUACCUGGCUCAAUAUUGACGCUGAGAUACGAAAGCGUGGGGAUCAAACAGG